rnacentral:rRNA from 1 species
CAAGAGCGUAUGUAAAAGUUGUUGCAGUUAAAAAGCUCGUAGUUGAACCUUGGGUUUGGCUGGCCGGUCCGCUUUUUUGCGAGUACUGGAUUCAACCGAGCCUUUCCUUCUGGCUAACCAGUCGUUUCGGCGGCUGGCGAACCAGGAUUUUUACUUUGAGAAAAUUAGAGUGUUCAAAGCAGGCAUUAGCUUGAAUAUAUUAGCAUGGAAUAAUAGAAUAGGACGUUAUGGUUCUAUUUUGUUGGUUUCUAGGACCAUCGUAAUGAUUAAUAGGGACGGUCGGGGGCAUCAGUAUUCAGUUGUCAGAGGUGAAAUUCUUGGAUUUACUGAAGACUAACUACUGCGAAAGCAUUUGCCAAGGACGUUUUCAUUAA